rnacentral:rRNA from 1 species
GACGUAGGUGGCGAACGUUAUCCGGAAUUAUUGGGCGUAAAGGGUGCGUAGGCGGCAUGAUAAGUUAUUGGCGGCAAACCGAGGCUCAACCUCGUGGAAACUGAUAAUACUGUUUUGCUUGAGUACAGGAGAGGUUAACGGAACUCCAUGUGGAGCGGUAAAAUGUGUAGAUAUAUGGAAGAACAUCAAUAACGGCGAAGGCAGUUAACUAUUCUGUUACUGACGUUGAGGCACGAAAGCGUGGGGAGCA